rnacentral:rRNA from 1 species
AUUGAACGCUGGCGGCAGGCUUAACACAUGCAAGUCGAGCGGGGGAGGUUGCUUCGGUAACUGACCUAGCGGCGGACGGGUGAGUAAUGCUUAGGAAUCUGCCUAUUAGUGGGGGACAACAUUCCGAAAGGAAUGCUAAUACCGCAUACGCCCUACGGGGGAAAGCAGGGGAUCUUCGGACCUUGCGCUAAUAGAUGAGCCUAAGUCGGAUUAGCUAGUUGGUGGGGUAAAGGCCUACCAAGGCGACGAUCUGUAGCGGGUCUGAGAGGAUGAUCCGCCACACUGGGACUGAGACACGGCCCAGACUCCUACGGGAGGCAGCAGUGGGGAAUAUUGGACAAUGGGCGGGAGCCUGAUCCAGCCAUGCCGCGUGUGUGAAGAAGGCCUUUUGGUUGUAAAGCACUUUAAGCGAGGAGGAGGCUCUUAAGGUUAAUACCCUUGAUGAGUGGACGUUACUCGCAGAAUAAGCACCGGCUAACUCUGUGCCAGCCGCCGCCGUAAGAC